AUUCCAGCUCCAAUAGCGUAUAUUUAAGUUGUUGCAGUUAAAAAACUCGUAGUUGGAUUUCGGAUGGGUGGCACCGGUCCGCUGUUUCGGUGUGCACUGGUGGCGCGCAUCUUGCUGUCGGGGACGCGCUUCUGGCCUUAAUUGGCUGGGACGCGGAGUCGGCGAUGUUACUUUGAAAAAAUUAGAGUGUUUAAAGCAGGCUUAGGCCUGAAUACAUUAGCAUGGAAUAAUAGAAUAGGACCUGUGUUCUAUUUCGUUGGUUUCUAGGACGUAGGUAAUGAUUAAUAGGGACAGUUGGGGGCAUUAGUAUUUAAGUGUCAGAGGUGAAAUUCUUGGAUUGCUUAAAGACUAACUUCUGCGAAAGCAUUUGCCAAGGAUGUUUUCAUCA
rnacentral:rRNA from 1 species